GACGAACCGUGCGAACGUUGUUCGGAUUCACUGGGCUUAAAGGGCGCGUAGGCGGGCUGCCAAGUCCGGGGUGAAAUCUUUCGGCCUAACCGGAAAAGUGCCUUGGAUACUGGCGGCCUGGAGGGAGGUAGGGGCACGCGGAACUUCCGGUGGAGCGGUGAAAUGCGUAGAGAUCCGGAGGAAGACCGGUGGCGAAGGCGGUCUGCUGGGCAGUUUCUGACACUGAGGCGCGACAGCGUGGGGAGCAAACAGGG
rnacentral:rRNA from 1 species